CUGGUGGACAUACUGUACGGGUAGAGAGUGGGAGAGGUCAGCGGUAUUCUGGGGGUAGGGGCGAAAUCCUUUGAUCCCCGGAGGACCACCAGUGGCGAAGGCUGCUGUCUAGAACACGUCUAACGGUCAGGGACGAAAGCUGGGGUAGCGAACCGGAUUAGAUACCCGGGUAGUCCCAGCCGUAAACGAUGCAUGCUAGGUGUUGGGUUGGCCACGAGCCACCCCAGUGCCGCAGGGAAGCCGUUAAGCAUGCCGCCUGGGAAGUACGAUCGCAAGGUUGAAACUUAAAGGAAUUGGCGGGGGAGCACCACCAGGCGUGAAGCCUGCGGUUUAAUUGGAGUCAACGCCGGGAACCUUACCGGGAGCGACAGCAGAGUGAAGGUCAGAUUGAAGAUCUUACCAGAC
rnacentral:rRNA from 1 species